AUGUAUAAAACAUUAGAUGUGAGUUUAUGUCGUAUAGAUUAUGUGAAU
rnacentral:guide_RNA from 1 species